UACGUAGGCAGCGAGCGUUGUUCGGAAUUACUGGGCGUAAAGAGUGUGUAGGCGGUGCUCUAAGUUCGGUGUGAAAUCUCCUGGCUCAACUGGGAGGGUGCGCCGGAAACUGGAGUGCUUGAGCGUGGGAGAGGAAAGCGGAAUUCCUGGUGUAGCGGUGAAAUGCGUAGAUAUCGUUUGGAACGCCGAUGGUGAAAACAGGUUGCUGGGGCUGCGCUGACGCGA
rnacentral:rRNA from 1 species